rnacentral:lncRNA from 1 species
AAUGACUGAUUGGUUAUCUUGUGUUCCCAAUUCUCAUGGCUAUUUAAAUGAAAAUAGCAUUAAAAGGUGUUUUUUUUUUUUCCGUUUUUUUUUUCUCUUGAAACUUUGGGGAGAAUGGAAAGAAGAUUUCUCCAUGGGUAGCAUCCUUGCCAGAUAAGGGCGUCAUUCCUGGCUAGAAAAACCCACUGGAGCCUUCUUUGCCAGAGGUGAAGUAACUGAGGGAGCAUAGAAUACAUCCCUUCGGGAGUAGUUGAAGUCCACGAUUAGGGAGAAGAAUAUUUUCAUCUCCAGCUCCCAUUAACUCAAGGGAGGAAGGUGGCAAAGAUGAGAAGGACCUCAGGAACGUCACCCAGGAGACCUGGGUUUCUCCAGUUCUGCAAUUUACCAGCAGUGUGACCCUGGGCAAUUCACUUCCCAUUCCUGGCUUCUUCCUUACAAAUAGGCAUAGUGAAAUAGACAUUCCUUCCCUCAUUAUGAGGAUCGAGCGUGAUGGAAUGCUGGGAAAACUCUGGAAUGUGAUAUAAAUAUAUGCCUCCGUAAUUAAGAAACUGAGUCUAUGGUCCUGAAGGGGCAAGAGAAAGAGCCAGCAAUUAGAGUGAGGACAAAGAACAGGUGACAAAGGCCAGCCUGGAGAUGCAGGCAGACCAAUAAAAGCCAAACCCAAAGCUAUGGAAACUUGGGAGGUCAUCCUCACCAAGGCAGGAGUCUCCAGGGGAAGAUCAAGUGAUGAUGCCAACUCUUCUCAAAGGACAGAGUUUUGGCUGAGGUCUGUAUGGAUUCCAGCAGUCCCUUCUCUUCAAUGCACAGCACUGCUUUGCAGCAAAGUCAGGGAUGUGAUGAAAUGUUCACGCCCAAGGUCACCGCACGGAGGCAAGGCUGUCCACUCACUGUGAAGGCACUUUGCUGGAGAUGAUUCUUUUCUUGGGAAGCUGGGUUUCAGUUGUGCCUGGCACAAGCUUCCAGUGGGGAAAGGUGGGUGCUGAGGCUGGAGAGCUGGGUUGGGGCCGGAGAGUGCAGAGCCUGUUCCUAAUAAGGGACGCAGACUUCUAGAAACCACAGCCCUUCCCUCUUGCCACCACGAGGCUCCGCAUUUCAAGGCCACCUGGACCUUCUGAAGCUUUGCUUAUAGCCAAUUUGAAUAACGAUCAUUUCGCUGAUAUCUUUUGAAGAUGCUAUAACAUUGCAGAGUGUCUGCAUAGCCUAAGCC